UCACAGUCCAGCGCCCCCGCCAGCCAGCACAGAGCCUGCUCUCAGUGAAAGGCCACUGCUAUCCUUGGGCAUCCCCCACUAUGCCUGACUGCUCCCCGUGCCUCCUGGAACAGCCAGGGUCCUUAUGAAGUGGUGACCACUCCAGUCAGCAGGGGCGGAAAAUGGUACCAGUCAAGCCCAAGGUGGAGGAGGAGCAGCCCGAAGUCGCUGCCGCGAGAUGGAGGAGCCCACACCCGAGCCCGUCUAUGUCGAUGUGGACAAAGGGCUGACCUUGGCCUGCUUUGUCUUCCUCUGCCUCUUCCUUGUGGUGAUGAUCAUCCGCUGUGCCAAGGUCAUCAUGGACCCUUACAGUGCCAUCCCCACAUCCACCUGGGAGGAGCAGCACCUGGACGACUGAGGCUAGGCGGGCACCAGACCUGGCACUCUCUGGUGGCAGUGCCCCAGGAUGCACCUCUGUGUCCCCUGCCCGCCUGCCAUCCCACAGAGGAAGGAAUGAAUCUGACCACCCAGGGCAGGAGAAGGUGUGGCCUUCCAUCCCCAUCCAAGAGACCUGCAGCUGUGAAGAAGCUCAAGCCAUCUUUCUCACCAUCUGCAUCCCAGCCAUUAGUCCCCAGCACAGCCCAGGCUACCCGGAAAAUGGGUUUCCAAAGCACUGUCACUACUAGCAGACCCCUGAAUGUGGACAAGGCCACAGCUGUUCAGGCUGCAUUUCAGGGGACAUCCAGUUGUUAUCCUUCUCCCACCCCCACCCCUACUAUUGUGAGAUGCACAAAGGGACAGCUGGCAAAGGCAGUGAACCGAGAUGCAGGCCCCAUAGAAGGGGGAGGAGUCAAAGCAAAACUCUUGUGCAUUGCCUGGGGUUCAGCUGCAGCAGCCCCCACUCUGAAGCCUACUUUUGAAGUGCCAGGCACUUCUGUGAAAAGCUCAUCAGCAUGCAUUUACAACGUAAACUAG
rnacentral:lncRNA from 13 species